UACGGGGGGGGCAAGCGUUGUUCGGAAUUACUGGGCGUAAAGGGCCCGUAGGCGGCCAACUAAGUCGGACGUGAAAUCCCCAGGCUCAACCUGGGAACUGCGUCCGAUACUGGAUGGCUUGAAUUCGGGAGAGGGAUGCAGAAUUCCAGGUGUAGCGGUGAAAUGCGUAGAUAUCUGGAGGAAUACCGGUGGCGAAGGCGGCAUCCUGGACCGACAUUGACGCUGAGGAGCGAAAGCUAGGGGAGCAAACGGG
rnacentral:rRNA from 1 species